CGAAUGCUGACAUAAGUAACGAUAAAGCGGGUGAAAAGCCCGCUCGCCGGAAGACCAAGGGUUCCUGUCCAACGUUAAUCGGGGCAGGGUGAGUCGACCCCUAAGGCGAGGCCGAAAGGCGUAGUCGAUGGGAAACAGGUUAAUAUUCCUGUACUUGGUGUUACUGCGAAGGGGGGACGGAGAAGGCUAUGUUGGCCGGGCGACGGUUGUCCCGGUUUAAGCGUGUAGGCUGGUUUUCCAGGCAAAUCCGGAAAAUCAAGGCUGAGGCGUGAUGACGAGGCACUACGGUGCUGAAGCAACAAAUGCCCUGCUUCCAGGAAAAGCCUCUAAGCAUCAGGUAACAUCAAAUCGUACCCCAAACCGACACAGGUGGUCAGGUAGAGAAUACCAAGGCGCUUGAGAGAACUCGGGUGAAGGAACUAGGCAAAAUGGUGCCGUAACUUCGGGAGAAGGCACGCUGAUAUGUAGGUGAAGUCCCUCGCGGAUGGAGCUGAAAUCAGUCGAAGAUACCAGCUGGCUGCAACUGUUUAUUAAAAACACAGCACUGUGCAAACACGAAAGUGGACGUAUACGGUGUGACGCCUGCCCGGUGCCGGAAGGUUAAUUGAUGGGGUUAGCCGCAAGGCGAAGCUCU
rnacentral:rRNA from 1 species